rnacentral:rRNA from 1 species
AUGCUGCGCAAGAACACCAUGUCCUCCCUUGUCUUCCUCAUGGCGCUGCUGCUCUCAUGCAGCUCCAUUAGCAGCGCAGCACGGCACCUAGAGGAGGCCGUGCCCAAAAAGGAGUAUCCACCACAUCCGAUCGUCCCGGAGCUGCCGAAGCCCGAACUCCCGCCGCACCCUGCCGUGCCCGAGCUGCCGAAGCCUGAGCCACCGCACCCUCUCGUGCCCGAAGUGCCACACCCCAUGGUGCCGGAGACACCAAAGGAGCCUGAAGUGCCAAAGCACGAGCUGCCACCGCACCCAGCUAUGCCCGAGCCCCCGAAGCCUGAACUACCACAUCUGGUUGUGCCUGAGGUGGCAAAGGAGCCGGAAGUGCCACACCCCGUCGUACCGGAGGUGCCAAAGGAGCACGAGUUGCCGCACCCUGCCAUGCCAGAGUUGCCGAAGCCUGAAAUGCCACACCAUGCCGUGCCAGAGGUACCAAAGGAGCCCCAUGUGCCGCACCCUGAGGUACCGGAAGUGCCAAAGAAGCCUGAGUUACCGCACGCUGCAGUGCCAGAGGCCCCGAAGCAUGAAAUGCCGCCGUUCCCCAAAGUCGAGCUGCCCCCGAAGCCAGAGUUCCAUUUCACAAAGCCAGAGGCCAAGCCAUGA